GGAAUAGUAGCUUAACGGACAAAGCACUGGCGCGCGCAUAACAGGUACAGGGUAUAAUGGUUCGAGUCCAUUCUAUUCCA
rnacentral:tRNA from 1 species